UGAAUCUUCGAAUUGCCGAGUACUCAAACAUUGUUUUGAGUUCUGUGAUUCUGCAUUUGAAUAGGAAGAUCUGAUGC
rfam:Lupinus angustifolius cultivar Tanjil contig_20580, whole genome shotgun sequence.